rnacentral:rRNA from 1 species
GACGAACGCUGGCGGCGUGCUUAACACAUGCAAGUCGAACGAAGUGGCGGACGGGUGAGUAACGCGUAAUCAACCUGCCCUUCGGAGGGGAACAACAGUUGGAAACGACUGCUAAUCCCGCAUACUGACGGGGUGGAUUGCGUUUGAUUGGCUAGUUGGGGGGGUAACGGCCACCCAAGGCGAUGAUCAGUAGGCGGUCUGAGAGGAUGAACGGGCACAGUGGGACGGAGACACCGCCCAGACUCCUACGGGAGGCAGCAGGGGGGAAUCUUCCGCAAUGGACGAAAGGCUGACGGAGCAACGCCGCGUGAGGGAUGACGGCCUUCGGGUUGUAAAGCUCUGUUAAUCGGGACGCGGUACCGGAAUAGAAAGCCACGGCUAACUACGUGCCAGCAGCCGCGGUAAUAC